CACACACACACACACACACACACACUUGCGUGCAGAGAAAGAGAAACACUUGUGCCUGGACGACUUCUGCAUUAAGGACGUGGCACUAAGGAGGAUUGUCCAGCCGCAGAUGACGCUGAAGAACCGUUACAUGCCGCUAACACCAGUCUGCUUCAGCAGCUUGGUUGAAAUGGAGAAACUUGUUCCAUCCCAUCAUCUUAGCCCUAAGGACUCCAAACCAGCUGUUCCACAAGUCACAAAGAAACCGACUGGAACGUGGCCAGACGCCUGCUUCCUCCAAGAUAAAUCUGCUUAAACACCAGGUAGCAACACCACGUGCGGAGGGCUCUUCGGGAUCGUCUUCCGUUGGUGUUGACAACGUGUCUGCGCGGCAAGAGGUUGGAUGAUGCACUGUGUGAUCAAUGCCCAACUAAUCAUACACGUGAUGCCUUGAGAGGUCGGGGUCAGAUUGCCAACAGGUGGCGGUAAUGCACCAAAUAUAUGGAUGCAAACCGCUGUGAGUGCAUCAAGAAGAAGAAGGA